rnacentral:rRNA from 1 species
GUAGGGAAUAUUGGGCAAUGGAGGCAACUCUGACCCAGCCAUGCCGCGUGCAGGAUGACGGCCCUCUGGGUUGUAAACUGCUUUUAUACGGGAAGAAAAAAUACUACGUGUAGUAUACUGACGGUACCGUAAGAAUAAGGAUCGGCUAACUCCGUGCCAGCAGCCGCGGUAAUACGGAGGAUCCAAGCGUUGUCCGGAUUUAUUGGGUUUAAAGGGUGCGUAGGCGGAUCUUUAAGUCAGUGGUUAAAGCCUGCAGCUUAACUGUAGAAUUGCCAUUGAAACGGAAGAUCUUGAAUGUGGUUAAAGUAGGCGGAAUGUAGCAUGUAGCGGUGAAAUGCUUAGAUAUGAUACAGAACACCGAUAGCGAAGGCAGCUUGCUGAGCCAUUAUUGACGCUGAGGCACGAAAGCGUAGGGAGCGAACAGGAUUAGAAACCCGUGUAGUCC